GCUUGAACGUUUGCUACGUUGCGGAAUGGUUUGUACUGAAUGACACGUUUUCCCCAAAAUGCGGGUGUGUAUUCAUUACGCGUUUUCUGUUGGUAAACGCUUCGUCUGUUAAGCGUUUUGUAACAGAAACCGUUUACUCCAAACAACUCUAUUUUAUUAUUAAACUGAAGUUGUUGUUCAGUCCUGUCUCUCCUAAAAAAAAUAAGCAACUGGAAGAAGUUGGAAGGAACCGUGCGGACUUUACAUGGAAGAAGCUAAUAUUUAUGCGCAGCUUGUGCCAAAAACUUCGGACUAUUCAGAUUGGAAAGGCAACGUGUGGAAACCAUACACAUAAAAUGACUAGCUAUAACUUCCUUUUAAGAACCCACUUUGAAGAGCGUUGAGUAAAUGUUUUAUUUUGCUAAACUUUUGCAACAGAAUUGGCGUAAUGAAUACACCCUUGUUACUUCAUUCGGAAACAUGGAGUCUGUCGUCUGUGAUGUUGUUUCACCAGAGGAUGGAUCUCUUGCUGUGCCCCAUAAGAUCGGUCGUAUCAUCGAGAGCAGCCCGGCAGACCGCUGCGGGAGCCUGAAGAUUGGUGACCGGAUCCUGGCUGUCAAUGGGCAGUCCAUCAUCAGCAUGCCCCACGCUGACAUUGUCAAGCUCAUCAAAGAUGCCGGUCUCACUGUCACCCUUCACAUCAUACCAGAGGAAGGUCAGUGGUGAAAGCCAGGCAGGAUGUGAAACCAGGUAUCUGCCAGCCUCUGUUCACCGACUACCGGCAGCCCCCCGUCGACUACCGGCACCCUCCAGUGACUGAUUUACCGGCAGCCGCCAACACUGGACCUCCGGCACCCUCCUCCCCUCAUCGACUACAGACAGCACUCAACAUCACUCGCUGCACAGUUUGGGGGAGUGGGCGGGAGUAAAAGAUGGAUCUGUUUGUGCUGCGGCUCGCCGAGGAUGGGCCGGCCAUCCGCAAUAGCAGAAUGAGGGAAUGGUACCUUCCAACCUCUCCAUGUGCAUGAAAAGUGACACGCUAAGUUCCCCCUAUUUCUUCCUAAUGGGCCACUCUAAAGACACGUAGACAUUGCCCCCCCCUGGGAGGCCAUUCCUCCAGCCCUGCAGGAAGUGACCCUUGACCCCCAGCAGCUGUCCACCUCAUCUUUCUCAUCCCAUCCAGCCUUCACCCCAUACUCCCCACACCAGCUCCUUCUAGAGGCCACACCGCGUAUGGCAGCCCAUUCUCUAGACCCCAGUGCCACGAAAGGGGCUAUAGGUGGCAGGUGCACCCAGCCCAGGGGCACCGUCCGUGGGCAAAGAACCCUGCAGUGGCCUGAGGAGUUGGAGGAGGGGCCCCGAGAGCCCCAACCUCCGCCGCGGCCCCCGAAAGCUAGAUGGAGGUCUGCGGAGAGAAGAGAGAGCAGCAGCACCCACCCAUGCAGGAUCCAAACACCGCCGCAUGGCCCUGGGACUCUUCCUACCUGAGUGUGAGUCUGAACGGAGGCAGUUGGGUCCGUGGGGAGGGACGUGUGAACCUACAGGAGGGGUUUGAGCUGAGAGGUCUCCAGCCAAGGGAUGAGGAAGGGGCUCUGCCGCCUCCCCUCAAACCAUGGAUGGCCCUGCAGGCAGGAGUGCAGCCGCCUUCCUAGGGCCCUAGAACCCACCUGGGGGUGACAGACUGCCCGGCACCCUGAGGUCCUGGACCUACACUGUCAGCAGGGAAAACGGAUCCGGAUCAGACUGGUUUACAUUGGAUCCGACUGGAUUCUGACUGGGUUGGACUGGCUAGCUGUACAUAGGCACCCAAGUCCUACAUACCACUCACACCAUCAGAUGCCAGAGGAAUCUUUUAUUCUCUCUCUCUCUCACUCUCACUCUUUGAAAUCAAAACUUUUUUUUUCUUCUUGUUCUUCCCUCUUUCAAGAUGAUUAUAACCA